ACGAGAAGACCCUGUGGAGCUUAAGAUACAAGAUCAACUAUGUCAAGAACCCUAAAAGUUAAACUAAAUAGCAACUGAUCCUUAUCUUCGGUUGGGGCGACCGCGGGAGAAAAUAAAGCUCCCACGCGGACUGGGGUUAAUCCCCUAAAACCAAGAAAGACAUUUCUAAGUCACAGAAUAUUUGACCACAAAGAUCCGGCUUACAACUGCCGACCAACGGACCAAGUUACCCUAGGGAUAACAGCGCAAUCCCCUUCCAGAGUCCAUAUCGACAAGGGGGUUUACGACCUCGAUGUUGGAUCAGGACAUCCUAAUGGUGCA
rnacentral:rRNA from 1 species